AGGAUUCCCCUAGUAACUGCGAGUGAAGCGGGAAAAGCUCAAAUUUAAAAUCUGGCAGUCUUUGACUGUCCGAGUUGUAAUUUAGAGAAGUGAUGCCGGCGCUGGACUGUGUACAAGUCUCCUGGAAUGGAGCGUCAUAGAGGGUGAGAAUCCCGUAUAUGACACAGUUGCCAGAGCACAGUGGUACGCUCUCAAAGAGUCGAGUUGUUUGGGAAUGCAGCUCAAAAUGGGUGGUAAAUUCCAUCUAAAGCUAAAUACAGGCGAGAGACCGAUAGCGAACAAGUACCGUGAGGGAAAGAUGAAAAGAACUUUGGAAAGAGAGUUAAACAGUACGUGAAAUUGUUGAAAGGGAAACGCUUGAAGUCAGUCAUGUUGCUGGAAAUCACACUUGCUUUUUGCUUGUGGCUCUUUCCUUUGCAAUGGGUCAGCAUCAGUUUUGGUUGUUGGAUAAGAGUCAGAGGAAGGUGGCAUCCUUGGAUGUGUUAUAGCCUCUGAUUGCAUGCAAUGAUGGAGACUGAGGAACUCGGCACUUGUGCCUAGGAUGCUGGCAUAAUGGCUUUAAUCGACCCGUCUAAAAAAGG
rnacentral:rRNA from 1 species